rnacentral:rRNA from 1 species
AUUGAACGCUGGCGGCAUGCCUUACACAUGCAAGUCGAACGGUAACAGGUCUUCGGAUGCUGACGAGUGGCGAACGGGUGAGUAAUGCAUCGGAACGUGCCUAGUAGUGGGGGAUAACUACUCGAAAGAGUGGCUAAUACCGCAUGAGAUCUACGGAUGAAAGCAGGGGAUCGCAAGACCUUGUGCUACUCGAGCGGCCGAUGGCAGAGUAGGUAGUUGGUGGGAUAAAAGCUUACCAAGCCGACGAUCUGUAGCUGGUCUGAGAGGACGAUCAGCCACACUGGGACUGAGACACGGCCCAGACUCCUACGGGAGGCAGCAGUGGGGAAUUUUGGACAAUGGGCGCAAGCCUGAUCCAGCAAUGCCGCGUGCAGGAUGAAGGCCUUCGGGUUGUAAACUGCUUUUGUACGGAACGAAAAGCCCUGGGUUAAUACCCUGGGGUCAUGACGGUACCGUAAGAAUAAGCACCGGCUAACUACGUGCCAGCCGCCGCUGUAACAC